UGGAUGUCGUCAGCUCGUGUCGUGAGAUGUUGGGUUAAGUCCCGCAACGAGCGCAACCCUUGCCAUUAGUUGCUACAUUCAGUUGAGCACUCUAAUGGGACUGCCGGUGACAAACCGGAGGAAGGUGGGGAUGACGUCAAGUCCUCAUGGCCCUUAUAGGUGGGGCUACACACGUCAUACAAUGGCUGGUACAAAGGGUUGCCAACCCGCGAGGGGGAGCUAAUCCCAUAAAGCCAGUCGUAGUCCGGAUCGCAGUCUGCAACUCGACUGCGUGAAGUCGGAAUCGCUAGUAAUCGUGGAUCAGAAUGUCACGGUGAAUACGUUCCCGGGUCUUGUACACACCGCCCGUCACACCAUGGGAGCGGGUCUCGCCAGAAGUAGGUAGCCUAACCGCAAGGAGGGCGCUUACCACGGCGGGGUUCGUGACUGGGGUGAAGUCGUAACAAGGUAGCCGUAUCGGAAGGUGCGGCUGGAUCACCUCCUUUCUGGAAAAAUGCUGCUUCAAAUUG
rnacentral:rRNA from 1 species